rnacentral:rRNA from 1 species
AUACGGAGGGGGCUAGCGUUGUUCGGAAUUACUGGGCGUAAAGCGUGCGCAGGCGGAUAUUUAAGUUAGGUGUGAAAUCCCAGGGCUCAACCCUGGAACUGCACUUAAAACUGGGAAUCUAGAGUUAUGGAGAGGUAAGUGGAAUUCCUAGUGUAGAGGUGAAAUUCGUAGAUAUUAGGAGGAACACCAGAGGCGAAGGCGGCUUACUGGACAUAUACUGACGCUGAGGUACGAAAGUGUGGGGAGCAAACGGAAUUAGAAACCCUAGUAGUCC